rnacentral:rRNA from 1 species
GUGUCAGCCGCCGCGGUAAGACGUACCACCCAAACGUUAUUCGGAAUCACUGGGCUUAAAGGGUCCGUAGGCGGCCAAGAAAGUUGGGUGUGAAAUACCUCAGCUCAACUGAGGAAUUGCGCUCAAAACUACUUGGCUCGAGAAAGACAGAGGUGAGCGGAACUGAUGGUGGAGCGGUGAAAUGCAUUGAUAUCAUCAGGAACACCGGUGGCGAAAGCGGCUCACUGGGUCUUUUCUGACGCUGAUGGACGAAAGCUAGGGGAGCGAACGGGAUUAGAUACCCCGGUAGUCCUAGCCUUAAACGAUGAGCACUAGAUCGAGGGGACCCUCACAUCCUCUUGGUCGUAGGGAAACUGUUAAGUGCUCCGCCUGGGGAGUAUGGUCGCAAGGCUGAA